AGAGUUUGAUCCUGGCUCAGGACGAACGCUAGCGGGGGGCUUAACACAUGCAAGUCGAGCGAGAAAGUUAUCUUCGGAUGAUGAGUAGAGCGGCGAACGGGUGAGUAACGCGUAGAUAAUCUGCCCUUAGGUAGGGAAUAACACACCGAAAGGUGUGCUAAUACCGUAUAAUAUUUUAUCUCCACCUGGAGAAUAAAUCAAAGGCUUCGGCCGCCAAAGGAUGAGUCUGCGUCCCAUUAGCUUGUUGGUAAGGUAACGGCUUACCAAGGCUACGAUGGGUAGCUGGUCUGAGAGGAUGAUCAGCCACACUGGGACUGAGAUACGGCCCAGACUCCUACGGGAGGCAGCAGUGAGGAAUAUUGCACAAUGGACGAAAGUCUGAUGCAGCCACCCCGCGUGCAGGAUGAAGCCCUUGCGGGUGUAAACUGCUUUUAGGUGAGACGAGCACUACUGUUUUGCAGUAGUUCGACGGUAUCGCCAGAAGAAGCUCCGGCUAACUCCGUGCCAGCAGCCGCGGUAAUACGGAGGGGGCGAGCGUUGUCCGGAAUCACUGGGCGUAAAGCGCGUGUAGGCGGGAUAGUAAGUCUGAGGUUAAAUGCUGGGGCUCAACCCCAUGUCUGCCUUGGAAACUGCUGUUCUUGAACAUGGGAGAGGGAAAUGGAAUUCCUGGUGUAGCGGUGGAAUGCGUAGAUAUCAGGAAGAACACCGGUUGCGAAGGCGAUUUCCUGGUCCAUUAUUGACGCUGAGACGCGAAAGCGUGGGUAGCAAACAGGAUUAGAUACCCUGGUAGUCCACGCCCUAAACGAUGAUUACUAGGUGCUGGGAGAUUCGACCCCUUCAGUGCCGCAGCUAACGCAUUAAGUAAUCCGCCUGGGGAGUACGAUCGCAAGGUUGAAACUCAAAGGAAUUGACGGGGGCCCGCACAAGCGGUGGAGCAUGUGGUUUAAUUCGAUGCAACGCGAAGAACCUUACCUGGGCUUGAACUGCAGUGGAAAACUCUUGAAAAAGAGUCCUCCUUCGGGACCGCUGUAGAGGUGCUGUAUGGCUGUCGUCAGCUCGUGUCGUGAGAUGUUGGGUUAAGUCCUGUAACGAGCGCAACCCUUACCGUUAGUUGCCAUCAGGUUAUGCUGGGCACUCUAGCGGGACUGCCGGCGUUAAGCCGGAGGAAGGCGGGGAUGACGUCAAGUCCUCAUGGCCCUUACGUCCAGGGCUACACACGUGCUACAAUGGAUGGUACAAAUGGUCGCAAUACCGCGAGGUGGAGCUAAUCUGAAAAAACCAUCCUCAGUUCGGAUUGUAGUCUGCAACUCGACUACAUGAAGCCGGAAUCGCUAGUAAUCGUGGAUCAGCACGCCACGGUGAAUACGUUCCCGGGCCUUGUACACACCGCCCGUCACACCAUGGGAGUCGGGGGUACCCGAAGUCGUGGUUGUCCCACGCCGAAGGUAAACUUGAUGACUGGGGUGAAGUCGUAACAAGGUA
rnacentral:rRNA from 1 species